rnacentral:lncRNA from 1 species
CAAAGGGCCAUUCUAGGCUAUGGGUUGUCCUAGCAUGGUUCCCUUCAAGAUUGGUCUCAUCAGAAUAAUAGUUGUAAAAAUUACAUAAUACCAUACUUUAAAAAUUCCACACUCUAAAAUCAAGUGAAAAGUUUUCCUAUUCAAAAAUCAAAAAACCAUUUUCUCGCUUAUUUUUACUCUCUCUACAUUUUUUUCUCUUUUUCUCACUCUACCUUCUUCUCAUUCUCUCCUUUCUUCCCAAUCUACCAAUAAAUUUCUCCCCAAUCCCUUCCAGAAGACAAGAAGGCGCCACCAAUUUUUGGACGUGGCACACUAUUCCGACAAUGAUUUAGGGGCAAACUAGAUCCCAACACCUCCGACAGCGGAUGCGAUUCCCCAUUGUUUUUGUGCACGACGACAACGCGGCUCGACGACUGCUAAUGAAAGUGUAGCCUUCAUGGUAGUUCUGUCGAUGCUGCAGGUCAUUGUGGUGAUGUGGUGUAUCAUUUGGUUUUGACGGUAUUGAAGUGGUGUUGCUUGCAAUUGGGAGAUCUAGUUUUGUUGUGGAUCUAAUUUGUUGAGGUUUUUGUGUGUCUGUGGCGAUGAUUUUUUGGAUCUAAUUUGUUGAGGUUUUUGUGCGACUGUGGCGAUGAUUUUUUGGUUCUUGUUAGUGGCGGUGAUUUUAUUGGCGUGGCGAGGUGAUGGUGUCGUUGGUAGUCCGGUUAGAUGUUGGUGGUGGUAGUGGCACAGCGUUUGCUGUGAAGUCCAAUGAGAUGGUGGCGAUUUUGUUGUGACGGCGAGGUGGUGUUAUCUCGAUUUAUGCAUUUCUGUGUUGUGUAGUGAUCGUUGGUAGCGAUAUGGUAUGGUAGCGACAAUGGUGGAGUAGGUUAGGGUGGGUGAGAUGGUGGUGGUGGUGAGGUGGCGUUGUACUGUGUUUGUGACCAGUGACCAAUAAAUUAGUUGAAAAUUGUGAUUGCAACUCAUAAUUGAUUAAGUUGUAACCGAAAAAUUAAUCGUAAUCAAUUAAUCCAAUAAUUUCCAAUGAAUAAAAUGAGUUAUGACCAAUAAGUUUUUUACUCUGUG